rnacentral:rRNA from 1 species
UACGUAGGGCGCAAGCGUUGUCCGGAAUUAUUGGGCGUAAAGAGCUCGUAGGCGGUUUGUCGCGUCUGCUGUGAAAGCCCGGGGCUCAACCCUUGAAAGCCGGUUGAUACUGUCGGGCUAGAGUCCGGAAGAGGCGAGUGGAAUUCCCGGUGUAGCGGUGAAAUGCGCAGAUAUCGGGAGGAACACCAAUGGCGAAGGCAGGUCUCUGGGCCACUACUGACGCUGAGAAGCGAAAAGCAUGGGGGAGCGAACAGG